rnacentral:rRNA from 1 species
AUUGAACGCUGGCGGCAGGCCUAACACAUGCAAGUCGAACGGUAACAGGAAGAAGCUUGCUUCUUUGCUGACGAGUGGCGGACGGGUGAGUAAUGUCUGGGAAACUGCCUGAUGGAGGGGGAUAACUACUGGAAACGGUAGCUAAUACCGCAUAACGUCGCAAGACCAAAGAGGGGGGACCUUCGGGCCUCUUGCCAUCGGAUGUGCCCAGAUGGGAUUAGCUAGUAGGUGGGGUAACGGCUCACCUAGGCGACGAUCCCUAGCUGGUCUGAGAGGAUGACCAGCCACACUGGAACUGAGACACGGUCCAGACUCCUACGGGAGGCAGCAGUGGGGAAUAUUGGGCAAUGGGGGGAACCCGUGACCCAGCAACGCCGCGUGGAGGAAGAAGGUUUUCGGAUCGUAAACUCCUGUCCUUGGAGACGAGUAGAAGACGGUAUCCAAGGAGGAAGCCCCGGCUAACUACGUG